GCUUGGUGCAGGUUGGACUCCCAGUAUUGCGACUCGACGCGGAGCUUCUCGGGAGCUGGGGCUGAGCCGCCCAGCGAACGGAUCACUUCGCUUAUUACCCUGCCGUCGUUCCAGUCGCUCUAUGAAUUCGAAGGAUGUGCCGACUGUUCCGUGUCUUAAGGUUGAGCUGUUGUGAGAAUGUCUGAAGAGGAGCUCUUAUACAAGCGUUUAAACGCAAAAUUUCAAAUUGAAUUUUUUAGAAGAGUCAGUUUGUUAAGGCUAAAGGGAACGACAGAGUGCGACAAAGACCUGUAGUAAUAUAAUAAACUUUAUUUUACUAUGUUUAGCGACAUUUUUUAUCUAAUUUUAAUUUGAAAAAUGGAAUUGAAAUAAUUAGAAUUUGAGAAACGUAACACUUUUUUGAAAAAAAAACAUUUGAUAGUUUUUAUUAAAAUUUUAAACAAAUAAUCAUGAUAUUUUAAAAAACAUGUAAGGGAAAGAUGCACUGUGAUGAUACGAACAGAAUGCGUCCAAGGAAUAAAUAAAUUUUUUAGUAGUUUUGAACGAAACGAAUAUUUAUUUUACUUUGACAAAAUUUGAGUCCGAGAAUCUCCAAGUGUCAAGUGCGGGGUAAGAAGAAGAGAGGGCAAAAUAAACCUCGAUCAACUAGAUAGGAGGAUGUAGAAAACACGAUGUUUUUGUAUCCUAGUAUUAUUUAUACACAGAAUUAUCCUACUAAAUUUAGUAAUGCAUUGAGCAUCAGUGUUUUUUUUCUUUUUGAAGUAGUGUUUAUUUGCCAGUAAUUUUUGUGUGUUCCUUGCUCAAAAGUUUGGAAUACGACAAAAUCUAUUUUUCACUUUGGAAAACAAUAGGUUAAAUUUAAAUUUAUUUUCGGUAAAAAAUUAUUUUGUCAUGAUGUCAUGAAGAUCUCUGAUGAUAGAUUGAGAAAGCUUAGGAAGAAGCAAAAAAUGUCAAAUAACCUUGAAUUCCAAUUUUUCUGGAAUUAAAUUUUUUGAAAUACCUAAGAUUUUCUCGAAAUAUGUUGAAACUGUAAGCAAAGCCCAAGUAUACCUGCUUUCCCUUCUAAGAAAAAGCUGAAAGGAAUCGAACAAGUCGGCAAAACAAAUAGAAACUACUCGUAAUAAUCACCAGAAUUUAGCGUUUGCUUUUAAAUGUACAAUUUUCUUCUCACUGUAGAUACUCGUAUGUAAAUUUCUUUCAAAAAUUUUUGUUCAAAAUAUCAUUUAAGCAUUGUUUGUUU